rnacentral:rRNA from 1 species
UCUGGCCGCAAGGUCCGAGUUGAAAAUUGUAGAGGAUGUUUCGAGCAUGGUCUGGCCUAAGUUCCUUGGAACAGGACGUCAUAGAGGGUGAGAAUCCCGUAUGCGGUCAGGUGCCUACGCUCAUGUGAAACUCCUUCGACGAGUCGAGUUGUUUGGGAAUGCAGCUCAAAAUGGGUGGUAAAUUUCAUCUAAAGCUAAAUAUUGGCCAGAGACCGAUAGCGCACAAGUAGAGUGAUCGAAAGAUGAAAAGCACUUUGGAAAGAGAGUUAAACAGUACGUGAAAUUGUUGAAAGGGAAGCGCUUGCAACCAGACUUGCGCGCGGCUGAUCAUCCGGGCUUCUGCCCGGUGCACUCGGUCGCGCUCAGGCCAGCAUCGGUUUUGGUGGCGGGAUAAAGGCCUUGGGAAUGUAGCUCCUCUCGGGGAGUGUUAUAGCCCAGGGUGCAAUGCCGCCUACCGGGACCGAGGACCGCGCUUCGGCUAGGAUGCUGGCGUAAUGGUUGUAAGCGACCCGUCUUGAAACACGGACC